rnacentral:piRNA from 1 species
AUCCCCGGAUGAGGACGACAAUGG